UACGGGGGAUGCAAGCGUUAUCCGGAAUGAUUGGGCGUAAAGGGUCUGUAGGUGGUCGGUAAAGUCCACCGUUCAAUACCAAGGCUUAACCUUGGGGCAGCGGUGGAAACUCACCGGCUUGAGUACGGUAGGGGCAGAGGGAAUUCCCGGCGUAGCGGUGAAAUGCGUAGAUUUCGGGAAGAACACCAAUGGCGAAGGCACUCUGCUGGGCCGAAACUGACACUGAGGGACGAGAGCUAGGGGAGCGAAUGG
rnacentral:rRNA from 1 species